rnacentral:tRNA from 1 species
GCCCGGUUAGCUCAAUUGGAUAGAGCGUGAGACUCUUACGGGAGCAUGAAAUCUCAAGGUUGCGGGUUCGACCCCCGCAUUGGGCU